rnacentral:rRNA from 1 species
GACGAACGCUGGCGGCGUGCCUAACACAUGCAAGUCGAACGAGGUCCAUGAGAGCUUGCUCUCAGAAGACCUAGUGGCGAACGGGUGAGUAACACGUGAGAAACCUGCCUCGGAGUUGGGGAAUAACUCGGGGAAACUCGAGCUAAUACCGCAUAUCUUCACAUGAUCGCAUGGUCGAGUGAAGAAAGAAUUUCGCUCUGAGAGGGUCUCGCGGCCUAUCAGCUUGUGUGGGUAACGGCCCACCAAGGCAACGACGGGUAGCUGGUUUGAGAGAACGAUCAGCCACACUGGGACUGAGACACGGCCCAGACUCCUACGGAGGCAGCAGUGGGGAAUCUUGCGCAAUGGCGAAAGCCUGACGCAGCAACGCCGCGUGCGGGAUG